GCUUAAAUCUUUUGGCCCAGCUCCUACCUCCCGGCAGCCUCGCCAGGCCCAGAACUCUCUCCAGUCAGCCUCUACAGACCAAGCUCAUGACUCACAAUGGCCUAUUGAGGCCCAUACCCUACCUCACAGCAGUCUCCGCAGAUGAGCCUACUGCCUCACAACAGCCUCCACAGGCACAGCUCCAUCGUUACAAUGGCCUCUUUAGACCCAGCUCCUGCCUCCCAGCCUUCUCUCCAGGCCCUGAACUUUCUCCGGUGUCCCUCUGUUGUGCAAGGCUGGAGGGUAGUAGUGCUAUCGCAGCUGACUGCAGCCUCAACCUUCCAGGCUGAAGCGAUCCUCCCAUCUCAACCUCCCACGUGGCUGAGACUACAGGUGCUUGCCUCUAUGCCCACCUAAUAUUUGGUAUUUUUGUAUACGUGGAUUCCAGAGGGGUGACAGCGAAACGUGAGUGGGACCAUCCAGUUUCAGGAAAACAAGCUUAACACACCCACUGAUUCUACAUUAUGAUUCUUCAGGCCCAGCAUCUGCCUCACUGUGGACCCCCCAAGCCAAGCUCCCAACCUUUCAGCAGCUUCUACACACCCAGCUCCCGCCUGCCAGUGGCCUCUUCAGGCCCAUGGGGCUCAUUCCUCACAACAGCCUUUCCAGUCCCAGUUUUUCCCUUCCGGCGGCCUCUCCGGGCUGAGAACCUCCUCAAGUCGGCCUCUCCAGACCCACUUGCACCCUCCAGGCGUCCUCUCCGGGCCAAGCUCCUCUUCCUGGCUGCGUCUCCAGGCCUGACUCCUGCCUCUCAACAACCUCUUUGGACUCAGUGCCUACCCAUCUCCUGGCGUCCUUGGUCGGCCCACAGCUUCAUCAAGCCAAGCUCCCCAGGCCCAGGUCAGGCCUCACGGUGCCCCCUCCACGAUGAGCUCCUGCCCUCCAAUGGCACCUGCAGGCCCCAAAUGGUCUCCGGUCGGUGGGCUCCUCCACGCCAAGCUUGGGCCUCCCGGUGACCUCUGCAGGCCCAAGUUGUCCUGAAGUCGGCAUCUCCCGGCCGUGCCUCCCAGCAAGUAAGCAAGCUCUUUUGGCUCAACUCCUGCCCAGCUCCCAACCGCCUUUGUAGGUCCCGAACUUUCUCCAGCCAAGUUCUUUGGGCCUCAUUCCUGCCGCCCGGUGGCCUGUACGGGCCCAGCAAUGGUUGGAGAACGGCCUCUGCAGGUCCCGCUCUUGCCUCCCAGGGGCCUCUCCAGGCCCAGCUCUUGCCCUCACGGCGGCCACCCGGGGCCAAGUCCCUGCCUGCCUCCCAGCAGCCCUCAUGCGGCCCAGCUCCUCCCUCACGGUGGCCUGUUGAUGCCCAUGCCUCUGGUACCCUGCCCAGAGGCAUGAGCCCCUGCCACACACUGGCUCCUCCUAUGCUGAGAGAGGUCAGCGUGAGCCCUUGCCUCACACCGGCCCCUCCCACGCUGAGAGAGGUCAGCGUGAGCCCCUUGCCUCACACCGGCCCCUCCCACGCUGAGAGAGGUCGGCGUGAGCCCUUGCCUCACACCGGCCCCUCCCACGGUGAGAGAGGUCAGCGUCAGCCCCUUGCCUCACACCGGCCCCUCCCACGCUGAGAGAGGUCGGCGUGAGCCCUUGCCUCACACCGGCCCCUCCCACGGUGAGAGAGGUCAGCGUCAGCCCCUUGCCUCACACCGGCCCCUCCCACGCUGAGAGAGGUCGGCGUGAGCCCUUGCCUCACACCGGCCCCUCCCACGCUGAGAGAGGUCAACGUGAGCCCCUUGCCUCACACCGGCCCCUCCCACGGUGAGAGAGGUCAGUGUGAGCCCUUGCCUCACACCGGCCCCUCCCACGGUGAGAGAGGUCAGCAUCAGCCCCUUGCCUCACACGGGCCCCUCUCACUCUGACAGAGGUCAGCCUGAGCCCUUGUCUCACACCGGCCCCUCCCACGCUGAGAGAGGUCGGCGUGAGCCCUUGCCUCACACGGGCCCCUCUCACUCUGACAGAGGUCAGCCUGAGCCCUUGUCUCACACCGGCCCCUCCCACGCUGAGAGAGGUCAACGUGAGCCCCUUGCCUCACACCGGCCCCUCCCACGCUGAGAGAGGUCAACGUGAGCCCCUUGCCUCACACCGGCCCCUCCCACGCUGAGAGAGGUCAGCGUGAGCCCUUGCCUCACACCGGCCCCUCCCACGCUGAGAGAGGUCGGCAUGAGCCCCUUGCCUCACACGGGCCCCUCUCACUCUGACAGAGGUCAGCCUGAGCCCUUGUCUCACACCGGCCCCUCCCACGCUGAGAGAGGUCAGCCUGAGCCCUUGCCUCACACCGGCCCCUCCCACGCUGAGAGAGGUCAGCCUGAGCCCUUGCCUCACACCGGCCUCUCCCACGCUGAGAGAGGUCAGCCUGAGCCCUUGCCUCACACCGGCCCCUCCCACGCUGAGAGAGGUCAGCCUGAGCCCUUGCCUCACCCCGGCCCCUCCCACGCUGAGAGAGGUCAGCGUGAGCCCUUGCCUCACACCGGCCCCUCCCACGCUGAGAGAAGUUGGCGUGAGCCCUUGCCUCACACCAGCCCCUCCCACGGUGAGAGAGGUCAGCGUCAGCCCCUUGCCUCACACUGGCCCCUCCCAUGCUGAGAGAGGUCGGCGUGAGCCCUUGCCUCACACCGGCCCCUCCCACGCUGAGAGAGGUCAGCGUGAGCCCCUUGCCUCACACCGGCCCCUCCCACGCUGAGAGAGGUCAGCGUGAGCCCUUGCCUCACACCGGCCCCUCCCACGCUGAGAGAGGUCAGCGUGAGCCCCUUGCCUCACCCUGGCCCCUCCCACGCUGAGAGAGGUCGGCGUGAGCCCUUGCCUCACACCGGCCCCUCCCACGGUGAGAGAGGUCAGCGUGAGCCCCUGCCUCAACAGGCCACCGUGAGGGAGGAGCAGGGUCGCACGCAGGCUGCUGUGAGGCAGGCAGCGACUUGGGCCUGGGAGGUCGUGGUGGGGUGAGAGCUGGGCUUGGAGACUCCCCUGGGAGGCAACAGCAGGGCCUACAGACUCUGUUCUCCAGCCGGAGCUGGGACUGUUCAGGUACUGGGAGGUGGGAUGUGGGUCUGAAGAGCUUGGUUGCAGAAACUUCGGGGUCUACAAACGCAGGCGGGAGCUGAGCCAAAAAAGCUUGUUUGCUGGGAGGUGGGAGAUGCAGUCAGGAGAAACAGCUGUGCCUGCAGAGGCCGCCAUGCGGGAGGUGGAGGCCGGGCCUCCUCAAAUCGGCCUCUCCAGACCCACUUGCAGCCUCCCGGCAUCCUCUCCGGGCCCAGCUCUUCCUCCCGGCUGCGUCUCCAGGCCUGACUCUGGCCUCCCAACAACGUCUUUGGACUCAGCUCCUGCCCAGCUCCCAGCAGGCCCAAGUCGUCGUCAAGUCGGCCUGGAAUUGGGCCCAGAAGAGCAGCAAGUCGGCCUCCCCGGGCCCAGCUCCGUCCUCUCGGCGGCCUCUCCAGGUGCAAAACUUCCUCGAGUCAGCCUCUCCAGGCCCGGCUCCUCCUGCCUCCCAGUGGCCUCUUUCAGCCCAGACCAGCUCAUGGCUCUUGGCGGCCUUCCCAGGCCCCGCUUUUGACUUUUGGUGGCCUCUUCAGGCCCAGAACUUGACCUCCAGUGGGCCUUUGCAGGCCCGGCCUCCUGCCUCUCGAAGGCCUGCACGGGCCCGGACUCACAGCGGACUCACAGCGGACUCUCCAUGCCCAGCUAGCUCUCGCCUCAUUGCGGCCUCCCGAGUCCAAAGCUCCUGCCUCUCGGCCGCUUCGGCAGGCCCAGCUCCCGCCUGCCAGUGGCCUCUUUAGGCCCAGCUCAUUCCUCACAACGGCCUUCCCAGGCCCCGUUUUUCCCUUCUGGCAGCCUCUUGGCCUCUAAUUUGUUUAUCUUUUGUGUAUAAAUCCCAAAAUAUUGAAUUUUGGAAUAUUUCCACCAUUAUGUAAAUAUUUUGGUAGGUGAUUUAUUUGGGGUGAGUUUCUGCACCAAGCCCGAAUUUUUUAUUUUAUUUUCCUUAUUAUUUGGUGUUAAACAGGUUUAAUGACGGUCAUGGCAACUGUUUGGCACAAUGAAAAAUAUCGCCCAUGA